AUCGUUUCAUUUAGUGUGAUAUCUGUUUGUUCAUUUUUAAUUUAAAUCAUUCAUUCUUCAAACGUAUUUAUUGAUUCUAUAUAUAGCAAACACAAGGAAUAAUACAAUUUGAUCACGUAUAAAGAAUAAAAACCGGUUAAUUAGGUUAAAAACUGCACGACCGACUGAAACUUCAAAUUAAAAUAUUAAAAGAUAUUUGACAUUAAAAUGAAGCUGCAAAACGGAACUUAACACAUAUUAUAUAUUUAAAAAAAAUUCAAUUUGGAUCUGCCAAACGGAUUAAAUGAUUUUAACGAUAUCUUGGAAAAAUAUCGGGAUCAAAAGAAAACGCUAUAUCAUGUACGUUUAUAUUAAAAGAAAACGUUAACAUACUUUUAUUUAAACGAAAACAAAUAUGUGCGACGUGGUUCAAGAGGACAAACGGCUUUAAACAAACACGACUCCAUCUGAUAGAAAACGAAGUAUGACGUAAGGGUCACACUAAGAAGUUUCAGCAGCCAUACGAGCGAUGCGUCUCCAGGUUUCAGUGAUAUAGAAGUAGAUGGAGGUAGACGUGUUGAUGACUCAGGCACAAUACAUAUCAGGGCUGAAAACAAUUGCUCCGAAUUAGAAUAUGACCCACAGGUUGACCUACCUACUCCAAAUCUGUUUGUUUCAAUGUUCAAUGAUGUGGUUAUGAAUGGAGGUUCAUCCAUUAAGCAAGAUUAUGUCGGAGAACUACCUCUGCCAAACCUUCCGCACUAUGGGAUGGAUCCCGCCGAACAUGCUGUACUAACGGAUAGGCGCAUCAUCUUUGUAUCCAUCCAAACCAACCAGUGUCAAAUGGAAAUCAUAUCACGACCUUAUUACAUUAAUGAACACGAGCAUUCAUUAUUGCAUUAAAAGAUGUUCUUAAUGUUAAUUUGAUAUUUCAAUAAUUUAUCUAUGUUGUAGUUAUUAUGUUUUUAUAAACAUUUGAUCCCAGUACGUGAGAAUAGCUAUCAUGUUUUCAAACCGGUGUUCAUUUUCACGAUAUUCAUUGAGGUUAUAGUUAUCGAUGUAUUGCAGAUUUUAUGGAGAAUAAGGUUGAUUAUCUUUUUUUGUCAACGAACAUAGAAAUACUUAAUUUAUUUUAUAAAAAAAUGUUUACUUACGUACGUUUUUUGAUGUUGUGAAUGAUGUGUUCAAGUAUUUCUUGCCAUAAAAGUAUUUAACAUAUCCCUAGAACUAUAUUUUAACUGGAAAUAUGAAAACAAAACAUGUUUGCUUUAUUUGUAUAUGAUGUUUAAGGAUUAUUUGUGUAUUUAUUAGGACAAGUCAAUUCAAGAAACAUAAGUCAUGAACAAAUUGUUUUGUGUCUCUUAACAACCGCCUGUCUUUUAUUUAUGGCAAGUGACCGAUCGCCUUCUCAAAACAGAUCAUUAAAUUUAGCAACCGUUUACUUAAGCUGGGGUCAUCGCAUUGGUACAUUUAGUCAUGUUUUAAAAUCUCAAUUGCAAUAUAUUUGUGCUCAUUUUUCCCCCUUUACAUAAUUUGCAUUUAUCUGGUUGAAUAUAAAAAUUUAGAUAGAUGUUCAGUGAGUGUUUUGUGUUUUUAGAAAGGAAAAGGGAGACAAAUAAAUUGUUUUAUGAAAUAUAUACAUAUGGAGAACUUGGUAUACGCGUUUUACAAUGUAGCUCGUCAAUAUAUAUUUUUGACGGGAAAUCAUCCUUAUCAAUGAGCUUGAUUAUAAUGCAAUCAUGUUAGUGAAUAUAAUUUAUUGAAGAUAUAAUUAUUAUAAAUUAUAUAUGCGGCCAUAAAUUCUGUUAAAAUGUCAUGUUUACAUGGGCAUAUUAUUAAUGUUUAAAUGAAAUGUUAGUGUGUAGAACUGUGUUUUAAAAAAUGU